CCCUUAAAACCCCUGUGUCAAGAGGGGGAAGGCCAGCAUCCCAGCUGCAAGUCUCUCAUUUAAGGUUCUUGCUGUAGCCAGCAGUGUCUUUGGAGUCUAGUUCAAAGCUGAGAGAGUGAACCAGGGAUCCGGGAGCCAUUGGUGGAGGGGCUGGCCUGAAGGAAGUGAAGUGUUUCAGCCAGAAUGUACUGACGCACGACCAGGAAACCACAAGACUGAGUAACUGCCAGCUGCCAUGUAAUAAAUCACAUCAUCAUAUAGCAGAUCCAGUAAAUAGCUGAGACUAGCAGGAUGACUGAACUCUGUCCUGAGAGCUAAAUGACAGAGAAAUUGGAAUGACUAUGGAACACUUCAAGUUGAUUUCUAGGUAAUGGGGUAUUUUUCCUGGAAAGACAACAGAAUAAUUCUGAACUAUUGAUUCUGUCAUGGGUACAGGCUCCCAUGUAGAGGAAAAUAAGCAAGUGUGAUGAAUUUUUCA